ensembl:misc_RNA Y_RNA Y RNA
AGCUGGUCUGGUGGUAGCAAGUUAUCUCAAUUGAUUAUUUAGUCAGUUACCGAUUGAACUCCUUGUUACACCUUUUCCUCCUCCUCACUGCUACACUUGACUAAUCUUAA